AAAUGCUACAGUUCUUUCCUCCAAAAAAUUAUUAUUAAUCUAGGGAAGAACGUUGAAAAUGCUUUGAGUGUUUAAUUUUUUUCCAUGACCUUCAUCAAUGGAAUAUAAACAUAAUUUGAUAUAACUCAUUAAACAAUAUUAUCAGAAAGCUGAUAACGUUGUUAUUCCCAAAGUAUUCCAUUGGGGCUGUUACAUUCCAUCACAAUUUGUCGACUCAUAUGUGAAAAUCUCUUCUCAUAAAAUGACUCUAUCAAUUCCCUCUAUUAAAUUCUAUAAUGGUCAGGAAAUUCCUGUAUUUGGAUUAGGAACGUGGAAAUCUAAAGCUGGUGAGGUAACUCAAGCUGUGAAAGAUGCUAUUGAUUUGGGGUAUCGUCAUAUAGAUUGUGCUUAUGUUUAUGGUAACGAAAAAGAGGUAGGUGAUGCUAUAAAAACUAAAAUAGCUGAAGGUGUUGUAAAAAGGGAAGACCUCUUUAUCACCAGCAAACUUUGGAAUACCUUCCACAAACCUGAGCUAGUUGAAACUGCUCUUAAAGAAUCUUUGAAAAAUUUAAGUGUUGAAUAUGUUGAUUUGUACCUCAUCCAUUGGCCUCUUGGCUAUAAGGAAGGUGGUGCUCUUUUUCCUACCAAUGAGCAAGGAAAAAUAGAAUUCAGUGAUGUUGACUAUGUGGAUACUUGGAAAGCUCUGGAAGCUAUUUCAAGAAAGGGACUAGCAAAAUCAAUUGGUUUAUCCAAUUUUAACAAGAGACAAAUUGAGAGAAUUUUAGAAAUUGCAACAGUUAAACCAGCCAAUCUUCAGAUUGAAUGCCAUCCCUACCUGAAUCAGAAAAAACUAAUUGAUUUUUGCAAGCCCAAAGGAAUUAGUGUGACAGGUUAUAGUCCACUUGGAUCUCCUGAUAGACCAUGGGCUAAACCAGAGGAUCCUCAAUUAUUGAAGGAUCCCAAACUGAUAAAACUAGCAGAAAAACAUAAUAAGACACCUGCUCAAAUUAUUCUCAGAUAUCAGGUGCAACGGGGCGUUAUAACCAUUCCUAAAUCGGUGACAAAAUCUAGAAUUGCUGAAAACAUUGAUAUUUGGGAUUUUAAAUUAACAGAUGAUGAUAUGAAGUAUAUUGAUUCGUUUGAUUGCAAUGGAAGAUUAUGUCCAAUGACGGCAGGGUUAGGGCACCCACACCAUCCAUUUGAAAAUGAUGAGUUUUAGUUUAACCCACUAUACACUGUAAUAAAUGAUAUAUUUCUUUGAAUAUGUACAAAUAUUCCAGAUUAGAUCAACUCUGCAACAUACUAGAGGCCGAAGCUGUUUCAAAGAGUGAUGUUCAUGAAAGAUUUAUUUUACAACCUCUUGUACCGAGUCUAAAAUUCCAAAAUAAAUAAAUAGGAGUUAAUUAUUUUCAUUGAAA